GAUGCUGAUCCAGCAGCAGUAGGAACAGCAGCAUCAUUUGAGAUCUUAUCAGAAACACAAUUAUCAGACCCCACUCCAGACCUUCGGAAUCAGAAACUCUGGGGGUGGGCCCAGCAUUCUAUGUUCUCACAAGCCCCUCGGAAGCUUCUCAUGAACACGACAGUUUUGAGAACCACUCUUCUGGGUGACACACACAGAUGGAUGGUGAAGAAAACACGAAAGAUAAGCCUCCUGAUCACCAGUAGAAACUCACUCCCAUUGUUCAGUGCCAAAGGGAGAUACCUGUCCAUAAGAAGAUUAAAAAGGCCACC